rnacentral:rRNA from 1 species
UACGGAGGGGGCUAGCGUUGUUCGGAAUUACUGGGCGUAAAGCGCACGUAGGCGGCUUUGUAAGUUAGAGGUGAAAGCCCGGGGCUCAACUCCGGAAUUGCCUUUAAGACUGCAUCGCUAGAAUUGUGGAGAGGUAAGUGGAAUUCCGAGUGUAGAGGUGAAAUUCGUAGAUAUUCGGAAGAACACCGAUGGCGAAGGCAGGUCUCUGGGCCAUAACUGACGGCUGAGAAGCGAAAAGCAUGGGGAGCGAACAGG